GAGGAAAGAGAUGAAACCAAAGGCCAUGUUACUGGUGUUCUUUAUAAUGACUCUGAGCUUCUGCACAGUCUUCACUGAUCUAGAUCAAGUUGUCGAAGCUAUUAACGAAAGAUCCAAAACUGAAAUUUCGAGAAGAGGUGGUUUUAUGUUUGUGGGACCAAGGCCCCGGCGUAGACCACGACCAGGACGUUUCAGAGAAAUACAGGUUUCAGAAAAAUAAUGGUGAACGGACAUCUUUUGGUUGCCUAGUGUACAGAUAAUUACCUCCCGAUUAAAUGUAACAUCUUAACUUCAUACGGGAUCAAAAGUAGAAUUUUGCAUUUCCAACAACGACUGGAUAUAAUGUAUGGAAAAGAUAGAACACAUUUCAUUUUCAAAUAUGGUGUGUAAGUAAUUGUGUUAAAGUUGCUAAAAGUCUUGCAUUUUUCUAUGUUGACUAUAUGUACAUGUAUAUUUGAAUAUUUGCGUGUUAAAUAUAAAAAUGUGAUUUCAAAAACAUUGCAUUGCAUAAUUUUCAGUAAUAGUUUCAGUUAUGUGAAAGUUUCAGUAAUGUGUAAUCCCUUGCAAAUACUUAUUUGCUUGGUUUGUUGUGAAAGUAUUAAACAAUUGUUAGUUUU